CCAAGUGAAUCCCUUCCUGAGAGACCUGGAGAGCCAGACCUGGAGAGUCACAUUAUCUAUCUAUCUAUGAUGUAGAUUUGCUUAUAUUCCAUUUCAUAAUUUUUAAACAGUUCCACUUGAAUAUGUGGCAAUGUAAGUUUGGUGCAACCUGCAAAUUUCAUCACCCGAAAGAUAUCCUAAUACCAUCAGCCGAGCAAGAGAAUACAUUUGGAGAAACUGGGACAACUAUUCAGCCGGAGGGAACUGGAUUUGCUGUGAAGCCUCCUGUUUCAUUCAUCCCUGCACUGUCAUUUAACUCCAAGGGUCUUCCUGUAAGACCGGUAAGGACAAUGCAACACAUGAGCCUUUUAUUAUUCUAUUUGCAUUACAUCCAGAUUUUUAGUUACUUCUUUCUUCUUUUGAUUUAACAGCUUUUUGAUGUUGUAAAUUUAUGUUGAUCAUGUAUCUUUUGCUUCUAACAGGGUGAACCCGAUUGUCCAUUCUACCUAAUUGGAAGGUCAGCAUAUGUACAGUUUUGUUGACUUAUACUGUGAUAAAAGUAAAAGAUGACUGAGAAUUCUUAAAUGGCUUUUGUUUUCUAAAUCAGUUGCAUGUAUGGGGCCACUUGGGCAUGACUUAAGAGAACAGAAAAAGGCACUAUGGACGAUCUUGUAUCUGCCUCCACCACGCACUCAGCGCGGUUGGCAAUACCUCCUUUGGUGAGGAGAAGGCCACGCAGAGAAGUUUGUAAUAGGUAAUGUCCAAGUUUGUAAUCAGUAAUCUUACGGCAUGAAUUCUUUAUAAAGUACUGCAACAUACAAAAGGGCAUUCAUGUGAUGCACCAGUACUUGGCCUCUUUUCCCAUGCAUCAGGACCUUCAUGCGAUCUGAUAAUCAACUUGAGUUGAAAUUUAUUGAGAAAGUUCUCAGUGCAGUCUGGACCCCAAAUCAGACCAAUGCCUCUCUAUAUUUGGAGAAAGACCAGGAGUCAUUAAGGGAUUCGACCACAUCAUGUCACCAGGAACCAAGUUGGGACCUCCUCAUGGAGCAUCAAGAUAGGUCUCAACUUGAUUCUUGGUGACGUGAUGUGGUUGGAUUCUCAAUGAAUCCUGGUCUUUCUUUAAAUAUAGAGAGGCAUUGGUCUGAUUUGGGGUACUGACUGCACUGAGAAUUUUCUCAAUAAAUUUCAAUUCAAGUUGAUUAUCAAAUCGCAUGAAGGCCCUGAUGCACUGGAAAAUAGGACAUUACUGAUUACAAAAUUCUUUGUUAUCGGGAUGCGAUUUGCGAGGUUGUAUCCUUACCCUUCGGUUGGAUGAAGGAAUUGAAAAUUACAUAAAAUUCUAAAAUAACGGAAUUUUGAUUUGCAAUUUAAAUUUUAGUGUUUGGAUUUAUGUAUGUCGGAUUUUUUAAAUGACAAAAAUUUCAAUGUUUGGAUAGCUCAUGGAAAUUGUUAAUGUCAGAAAUUAAAUAUUUUAUGAAAUUGAUAAUUUAUUUCGAACUCAUGAACGACAUUUGUAUCAAAAGAAAAAAUAAAACUCACAACCAAAAUAGAAUGUAUUCCCCCAAGUAGAAAAUAACAUAUUGUUCGAUGAACUAAAGAGGUCAACAAAUUGAAAAAAGAAAACAAUGCUUAUUAGCAAUUCAAAUUGCUUCCACGCGCAAUAAACAUCAGCAAAGUACUUUUUUUUUUUCCUCAAUUGGGAAUGUCUUUAGCAUAUGAAAUUGUUUGUCAUUUUCUAUCAGCCAAGCACAUACUUUAAGCUGUUUAUUUCAAUAAGACUUGAUAUUGCUUGUAACAGCAUAUCUUUGUUGAAUCAAGGUUCUUGAUAUCAGCACCGAUAAACUCUUCAAAUGAUAAAACCAUUCUAGCAAUUGAAUCAGCAACGACAUCUUUGGAUGCUCCUCUUUUCCUUAUAAAAAGAAUAUUAGAAGAAUUUGAUGCACAAUUUCUUUUCUUUUGACCAUUUGUUGAGUUUGGUGAAAUAUCAUCAAUAACAUGGAUAUCUUCUAAAACCUUGUGUAUCACCAUCCAAAUGAACAUGUUCAACUUCAUUGGUAGGGGUCAUAACCUCAAUUGCAUUUGCAAUUGUUUUAGCAUCCCCUCCAGUAGUUCUAUCUUUGUCACACAAAUGUACUAUAUCAUCCCAAUUUUCAAUAACUUUAAAUCGAAAACCUCUAGCAUCGUCAUGAGACUACUCAACAAAUAAUCAAAGUCAAAUAAGAACCUAAUAAGUAUUUAUACAGAAGCACAUGAUUAAAAAAAAUUGCUUUAAUAUAUUUAUUUUCACAUAUUCUUCCCAAACAUGAUCUUCAUCUACACUCAUCAUCUUUUUUGUUGCAUCCCAACUAAAUCCACUUUGACUUAAUGUACCUAGUACUCUUAAUAUACUAUAGUUUUUUUUUUUGUCAAACAUUUCUGUUGAGGCCCAAAAAGUCAUGAGAAGUCCAAAGACAUUUAAGGCCCAAUAUAACAUAUAAUGUUGGUCAUGCGUUAAUCCAAGCUGUAUUUUGGGAAUUAAUUCAUUAAAUAAAUAUAGAAAUAGUGUGCAUGCCAUGCCAAGGCAAUAAUACAUUUUUCAUAUGUUAAUUACCUACCAAGCUCACAUGAACUCAAGUCAUGUGGUUUACGGGGCUUGCACGAGGGAUUGUGGUGUGGAAAGUUACGGAGGUCCAUAAGGCCCACGGAAGCUCUUGGAUAAUGGAGACUUUGGGCUAGCUACUGGGGAGCACCAAAGGCCAAGCCCAUUACUUGGAGUUCUUGAAUGUGGGUGAGCAAAUGAGAUAUUUUUUAAGCACUUCAUUUUACUUAUAGGAAAUAGUCAUUUUCCAAUGCCUAGCUUUACCUGCUGGAAAUAAGAAUGUCCAAAUGCUCCCUAUUAUCUGCUGGAAAUAAGCCAAUUCCAACAUUUCCUUUUACCCAUAGGAAAUAGUCAUUUUUCAAUGCUACCUUUACAUGCUGGAAAUAAGAAUGUCCCAAUGCUCCCUUUUACUCGUUGGACAUAAACUAGCUCCAACACUUCCUUUUACCUAUUGGAAACCAAAGAGAGCCUUCACCUUCUAUAAAUUGGGAGGCAUUGCCUAGCCAAAACCAACCCCUCUUGAUUGCUACAAGCCUCUCAACAACCAUGAGAACUCACCCUUUUUUCAACUGCUGCAAGCAUUCCAGCAGCCAUCACAAUCAUUCUUGAGCCAUCAACCUCUAUCUCUUGGUUGCUCAAGCACCCCAGCAACUUGCUUCCUUCCUUCGGCUGUUGCAAGAAUUCCAAUAGCCAUCCCAGCUAUUCCUCAGCUAUCACAACGAUUUCUUCUACUUUCUUAGCCUUGAAAUCCUCCAUCUUCCCUAUAAAGCCUCACCAAACAUAACUCCAACUUUUUCCUUAUUCCUCAUACCCUUCUAAGCUAUAAACACCAUAGCCUUCAAGCCUCAAGCUUUUCCUUCCAUCCUCCCACCUCUAGAACUCAUAAAUCUCUCUAGAAUUAUAGUCACAAACACCAUAGCCUUCAAAGUCUUAAGCUUUUCUUUCCUCAGCCAUGCUCUUUGAAACCCCAUUCAUUUGACUGCUAUAAGCAUCCCAACAAUCAUCACAGCCAAACAAUCAAACCACCGUAGCCAUAGCUUUAAACAAUAAAUUCUCACCAGCCAAACUCAAGCAUAUGAAAUACCAAGCCAAGCAUAAGCAUUCUCAUUUUCUAAACUUGUGGGUCUUUAGCUCACACACUCCAAGCUCUCAUGCCAAGCUCACACAAUCUCGGUAUACAUCAGCAAGUCAUCUUCAACCAUUCCAAAAGCACGACCAAGCAUUUGUCAAGCUGCUGGAAAUCUACUCAAACCACCCACCCUUUAUCUCCAUCUCUCUCUCUCUCUCUCUCUCUCUCUCUCUCUCUCUCUCUCUCUCUCUCUUUCUCUCUCUCUCUCCCCUCUCAAGCUAAGUUGAAACCAUAGUCAUUACCUUUUUGGUAAGAAAACGCACACAUUGCAAGCUCUUCGUCUAGCUGCCGAAAACACCCCAAAAUCUCUAGCCUUAAUCCUUUCUUUAUGCUCAUUUUCUCUUAGCUCCCACACCACAAGCCUCUCAUGCUGAUCCUAGUAGUAUAUUGAUUCAUCAAAGCAAACUCUCAUGCCAAGCUUAUGCAACAUCAGUGCACCAUCUUCAACUCUUCAUCAAGCUGUCGGAAACAUCAGUAUAAAACACGCAGCCGCUGGAAGAAGAACCAAGUACUCUCCUGGGACUUGCUUCUCCCUUGGGAUGCUUUGGGCCUAGUUCUCGCUAACUCAGAAAAAGGGGCAACAAAGGCUUGAUUCACCACCCUAUGCUGGUCCAAGAACCAACAAGCUCGGACGAGCCUUCUGACGGAAAAAGACCUCAACACUCUCAAUAUACUAUAGUUGAUAACAAUCCAAGAAAACGCUUAGGGCAAGGAGAAGCAAACACCUAAAACUCGUUAAUAUGUGUGGCAACAUAUGGUCAAACUAUUGGGAAGAAAAAUAUAUAAAAGACAAGCAAGAAGAGGAUAACCAGAGAGCGAAAAACCAACACAUCAAACAAAUUAUUUUUAGGCAAAACCAUAUUCCAUAUAGAAAGCAUAGAAGAAAAAACAUUAAUAAGCACAUAGCGAUAAAGCUAAGAAACAUAUACAGAGCUGCAGGAAAACAUUGCACACUAAUAUCCAUGCGCAUAGAGUAUUUUUGUUAAAACUUCCCAAAAUCUAGCCAUAGUGCUGUAAAGAUCACAAAACCCAUUCAUAAUAGAUUCAAAAAUUUAGUUAGAAACACCCAAUUGUGAUAUCCAUUCAGAAAUCAUAGUAACCCUAAAAUAGAAAAACAUAAGUUGACGGGGAGAGAGAUAGGCUUGAAGAUUAACCUUCAGAUUUGAUGCAGAGAGACAACGUGUAACUCAAGAAGAAUUCUUUAUCCUUCCUUCUUUGGUUGUAGCUUUGAGAUUUGGCAGAAGAUAAUUUUUGUAGCUGAGUUUUAUUGUGAGUUUUGGCGCUGGAAAAAAAGAAAAAAAGAAUUCCAACUCCAUGGAAAUUUUGAAAUGACUCCUAUUAUAGUGGAAAUUAAACUCAGGAAUUUGAUGUCCCAAUUUCCACGCUUUUUCUGCGUAUUAUUUAAUAAAUUUCGAGCUUAAGUUGCCAAACAAUGGAAUUAUCAAUUUCUCAAUUUAAAUUCCCGACUUUUAACCAAAUUUCAAGUUAUUUUCCCUCAUCCAAACGGAGGGUUAGGGUUUCGCAUGGAAUUCCUACUUAACUUGUUGAGGAAUUCAGCGUGCCGUUUUUGGGGCACUGAUCAUCCAUAGCAUAGAGAUGUCAUCCCACUUUGAUGAAGUAAAAGCUGUAGUUGAUGCUUUGAACCUUAGGCAAUGAGAACUGAAGAACUAGUGCCGUAAGUUGCGUGACCUUCUCCUCACCAAAGGAGCAACUGCUGAUGAUGCUGAGUGUGUGGUUGAGGUAGCAACAAGAUCGUCCCAUAGUGCCUUUUAUGUUCUCUUUAGUCAUUUCUAAUCCUCCUGUUGAAAGAAACCAGGGCACUCCCUAAGGAUUCAUAAGCUUUCGGAGUGCUUUGGGGUUUGAUUCUUGAACUUAGGUAAAGGGGCGACAUCAUCCACUCUCUUCACAACAGCCCAUGCCCAUAUGGAGCUGUUAGAAUGAAAAAGCAACUACAACCGUCAUAGAAAAUUAGGUGAUUAUUUAGAUCACUUUACCAUGUUUGCAUUUAAAAAAAAUGUAUUUGUAACUAAAACCAAUAUGCAUUCGGGCGAGGAAGAAAAGAGGAGAAAAACACUUGCCAUGGACAAAGUGCUUGCCAACUGCUAAGAGAUUUAGACAUUGUGAGUUUCGAAAAUAAAGAGGGGAAAUAAUAAAUAAUACACAAUAUUCAUUCAAUAUUGAAAUGUUGGAAAUAAACAACAUUCACAAGGAUAUGAUAAUCGAAACAAAUAUUAACAAGGAUACAAUCUUUGUUGUUUAAGGGUGAUAUGUUUCAGACUGAAGGUAAGUAGGUCAUUGAUAGGUUUACGACCUUCCAAAUGCAGUAAUAAAUAGUCAUAUACAUUUUCGAAAUUACUGUAACUAGGAACUACUACUCCAUGAAGGGUGGUGCUCAAAGCUUCUAUAUCAGUAACCAGAACAUCACACUAGUGUCUGGUUAUACUAAUAUAUUAAACUGAGACUCUAGCAGCCAUGUAGCAGAAGCUUCUGUAUAGAGCCACUUCUAUAAUUGUGGAAGCAACCUGUUAUAGUUGUGGAAGCAAAAUAUCUACGGAUCCUAGGUCAAAUAAUUAAGCCAAUCAAUUUGGGAAUUAUUUGGCCUAAUUGGAAGUUAUUUGAUUUAAUUGGCAAUUAUUCGAUUCUUACCCUAAUUAGGAAUUUGAUUUAAAUCAAUUCUCUAAUUAUGCCAAUCUCUCCAAAUUGGGGAAGAAUAAUUCAUUUCCAUAUGUGGAAUUAUUCUUCCGAAACCCUAGCCUCCGAGGCUCCUAUAAAUACAUGGCUACACCAAGGCUUGAGGUAAUUCUAAACUUACGUCUAAACUUCUGUCUCAGAAUACUGCAGAAAUCCUAUCUCACAAACCCUAGCCGCCAUAAUUCUUUCUCUCUCUCACACAAGGCUCCGGCCAUCCGAUUCACACCAUACAUACAUCUCCGUACCCUUUUGUAAGCUAUUGUUUUCCUACAAAUACUCGAACUAACUUAGGUAUUGGAAGGCCUUUGGCCAACACCCCUCGGGUGUGGUCCUCUUAUUCCGAUUAGUUUUGCAGGGAGAAAGAGAAACGAAAAGGAAGACGGAAUCUUAGAUGAAUAUUCUUGUGGGACGAAAAUCGCUCCCACAAUAGUACCAUGGUGGGACUUGGUUUAUGGCUUGACGGAGAUGCUUCCAGGAAAGUAAGGACUUGUUUGGUAUGCUAGAUUGGAUUGGAUUGGAUUAACCUUUCUACACUACACUAGACUGGUUGGGAUAUGACUGGAUUUUAAGAAGUUGUUUAGUGCAAUACAACACCAAAGUUGAGAUUAGUAUGCCAUAUUUUUAUUAUUUUAUUUUUAUAUUCUCAUUUCCAAAUUAAUUAGAAUAAAAUCGAUUUUCAAUCCACCAAAAAAAAAAAAUACAAUAUAAGUCGUCAUCUUUAGACUCCUCAGCCACCUCCCUUCAUAUCUCAAAGAACAAAAAAUUGCAAAAUUAAUAUAUAUAAAGAGGAAGAAGUUAUGAAUCUGCCUUUCACCAAUUUUUUCUUCCACUAUAUGCCUUUCAUCCAAGAGUUGAGGUCUAUAUAUGGCAGCGAAGAAGAUAUGACAGAGGGGAAGAGAGAGAGGAUCUGAGAGAAGAGAGAAGAGAAGAGAAGAGAAGAGAAGAAGGGACGAGAGAAAGAAGAAGAAGAAGAGAGAGAAGAGAUAAUAGAGAAGACAGAGAAGACAUAGAAGAAGAGAACAUAGAAGAAGAGAGAUGGCUGGAGGCGUGCUCUCUGGCUUCGAAACCCACGUCUAGGGUUGGGUUUCUGAGCCCCAAUUAUUUGGGAUUUGGAUCCAAGGCCCAUAUCUAGUCCUAGACACACUUUAAGCCCACCAAACAAUGACUAGGACUCAUUUUCAUUUUUAAUUGAAAAUAUCCAGUCCAGUCUAGCUUACCAAACGGGGCCUUAAAGAACCCUUGCAUUUGGUGCCAACUGCCCAUUCCAUGACUGCUUCAAACAGAAUGAACAACAAUACAAUGAGCUGUAGCUUCCCAGACUUGCAAACAUAAAUUAAAUUCAAUUGAGUGAGAUGUGGGAGCAAAUAUUUCUUAGACAUCACGUGGACAAGAAGAAUAUCCCAUAGGUUAAUUAAUUGAGCCCAUUUAUUUCGCCAAUUAAUUAAUAAUAAUAGAGAUAUUAUCUUUAUUUAAUGAAAUAAUAUCACCAAUUUGGAGAUUCAUCAUCAAGUUAGGAGAUUUGAUCCCAAUCAAAUCCCUAAUGGACUCAGUCCCUACAACUUAGGGAAAGAAUAACUCCUUCCAAAUAAGAGUUUAUUCUUUGAAAAACCCUAGAUGCUUAGAGCCCUAUAAAUAUAUGGCUUCAUUCAACAUUCAAGGUAAUCCAAUUUCUACAUGAGAAAACCUUACACACACACUCUUUCUUCCUCUCUCUCUCUCUCUCUCUCUCUCUCUCUCUCUCUCUCUCUCUCUCACUCCACCGCCCCUCUCUCCAUAUUUUCUCAUUACAGCUCCGGCCACCCGGUUCUCCCCGAUAGAGAAAACUUCGUACCCUUUUUUAGCUAUUGUUUUACCUAGAAACAAUCGAACUAACUUAGGCAUCGGAGGGCUUUUGGCCAACAUCCCAGAGUGUGGUCUAUUUACUUCAGUAUUUUUUACAAGAAUCGAGGAAGAGAGAGAAGGAAAUUCAAAGGUUAAAGGAUCUUUAAGUGGAUAUUCUCCUGUGAGAAUAUUUGCACAAACAUUUGGUGCUUUCAUUAAGAGCAUGACUUAUACUCAACGCGCGCUCUUAAAUUUGUUUCCUCAUAUUCAUCAUACAACCAAAGCCUUCUAAACAACCAUGGCAGGAAGCAAACACACCAGGAGCAAGACCAUCGCGAUGGCCCAAUUCGCUACGGGCUUGGGCCACCACAAUGUCGCGGCUCCAAGGUGUCCCAUGCUGUGGUCGAAGUCGUGACUCACCCUCACGGCUCCACCGCCCCUCCUCCUCUCGGUCCCGUGUUUAAGAGCACCAUCUCAAUGGGUGCCGCCGCCCCACCUCAGGGCUUCACAAUUGAAGGAGUGCCACAGCCGCUGGAGCCACCUCACCAUCGCACUGCCCCAUGGCUGAAAUUGGCAUACUCCUCCACGGUAACACUACCGUGACCUCACUGCCACAUCCCCAUGCGCCGGGUCCAAGCAAUCCUCCUCCACGUGGCCUCGCCACUGGAUUCAAAGCCCACUAUCAUGGUGCCACCUCCACACAAGGUGGAGCUUCCCAUCACUGCAAUCCCGCCCCAUCAUGAGUUACGGCCUGGUCUUGGAACAACUUCACUCAUUCCCUUCUUUGUCGCCACGCUCGAAAUAAGCUACUGCAUACACCUCUAACGAAACCCUAGCCCAUGUACAAUUGGGCUCUAUGAAGUCAAGUAGACUUCUGUCUUAAAGUUGACUAACUCACCAUGAGAAUGGACGACCAAAAUGAGUUGGUGAGGCAGCUCCUCAACCAAAUAGACUUGGUCCAAAAUCUAGGCCUUGGGCUGUAGGGCGAAGAGAGAAGGAUGGGCGAAUGCACUGACAGGCAGUUCGAGAGGUCCCAAGUAAGUUGAGCAGGAGGUAGCAGAUAAGGAGAAGGACAAUAACGUGAUCAGCAUGCUCGCAUGUCACAAGCAUCCGAGGGUCAUGCUCAAAGCAUACUAAGUCUUUAAUCUAGAUUGAGUUCAGAUCCAACAUGAGAGAGAAGCUAGGUAUGCGACCCAACUUUCACGCCUGCCUAGGCCCACAAGAAAAUGGUCAUGAGAGGCUAGGCCUUUAGGGAGGUCAACCUGACGACCCUCACAAUGAGGUUCGUGAAGAAAAGGGCUCCGUUGCCCGCUCUCGAAGAACCAAUUCCCUUCGACAAGACACAGAGAAUCCCUCGCAAGCGCAGUCCACCAAUAGGCCACAUAGGCAAGAGAACCGAGAAGGUCGGCCCUUGCGAGCCAAAAAGGAAGUCAAUUAGUGACGCUCAAAUCAUGAAGGUCACCAGCAUGACCAGCAGGCCAUGUGCAUAAUUGGCUUCGAGAUUUGAAGAUUUUGAAGACGUUUUCCACAAGGAGGUAGACCAAGAAAACUCUUCACCUUUCACCACCGAAAUUAAAUAGGUUGCUCUCCCAGAGAGAUUCUCCACGCCUUCUUUCACACACUUCAAAGGGGAUUCUGAUCCCGAGAGCCAUAUGAAGCACUUCAAGAGUGUUAUGAUUCUCUACAAGGCCAAAGAUGCAUUGAUGUGCAAAGUGUUUGUCAUGACUUUGUGAUGGGCAUCCCAGGAUUGGUUCCACACCCUGCCAUCCGGGUCGAUCAGCAGCUUCAAGGAGCUAGCUUUUGUUUUCACCAGGGAGUACACUUCUUAUUGAACGAUUAAGAAGAACCUGGACCACUUGUGGAACCUGCAUAAGAAGUCUGAUGAAUCCCUUCGAGAUUACAUCAAGAGAUUCAAAGCAGAAAAUGCAAACAUUGUAGGAUGCGAUGACUGAAUCGCAUCCUCUACCUUCGAGAAAGGCUUGCCAGCUGAGCAUGACUUAUACCACGAAUUGACUAUCGCUCCCAGCCAUACUUUGGCAGAGGUCUUCACGACCAUGGAACGCUACAGGCUCUGGGAUGACGAUUGAAUCGCCGCAAAAAAAUUAUGCCAAGCAGGAAGAUCAGCUGACCAAGCAAGCAGGUCAGAGAAAUGACAGGUUCAGUGGUAAGAAUAAAGACAAGCACAAGUCAUGCCCUCGAGGAGAUGCUUCAACAAAAGAGAACUAUACCAAGUUCUCCAUCCCCAUACAUCAAAUCUUAGCACAAGUGAAGGACAAGCCUUGGGUAAAGAGACCACCACCCUUGAAAGAAGACUUGGACAAGAGAUGCCCGAAAAUACUUUGCCUUCUAUAGGACACAUGGACACUACACGAAUAACAACUUUUCCUGGAGAAUGCACCUCAGAGAACUUGUAAAAGAAGGCCAUUGCACCAAGUUUGUUGAAAAGAAAUCCAUCCAUCGUGACGUGGCCAAGGAACCUCCUUCGAAGGUUAUAAGGAUUAACACGAUCCUGGCUGACUUCUAGGAAUCAGGGCUGACUAGUAAAGAAAAGAAGAGGAAGAUUAAAUAGGUUAUUAUUAUCUCCCAAGUCUCAACUAGCCUCCCAUCAGUGGAAGACGAUCCCAUGAUCGGCUUCCAAAAGAAAGAUCUAAUUGGUCUUGAUCUGCCACACAACUACUCCCUCAUCAUUAACAUUCAAAUGGCUCAGGCCAUGGUCGACCGAAUCCACGUAGAUGAGGAAACCGCAGUUAACAUCCUACAAUUGGUGAUCAUCCAGCAGAUGGGCCUGUAGACGAAGAUCAACAAAUUGGCCAAGCCACUGACCGGCUUCAACGGCUCGACUAUGGUUACCGUUGGCACGAUAGUCCUGAACGUCUAUUUCUCACCAGUGAUCAGCUCGCAAUCCCUUAUGGUCAUUGAUGAAAUCUCCUCCUACAAUGGCAUUAUGGGUAGACCAUGGAUUAGCAAGAUCAACGCCAUCACAUCUACCACGCAUCAGAAAAUCCGUUACUUAAUCCUUGGGAGUAGUGUCGGUUAGGUCAAUAGUGAUCAGGCAAUGGUGAAAAAAAUCCUCAGCUCAAGAGCUGAGGAAAAGCAAGAAAGUGCAGUUAGUCCUUGUAAAUCAAGUAGAUAUGAAGGGAGCAGAACUAGAUGAGGAAAAAAUAGAUCCUAUUCUUGACAGUCGAGCAGACCGGAAAGGGAUGGAAGCCCAAAGAGGACGUUGAGCUAGUACCUAUUGAUCCUGACAAGCCAGAGAGAAUAGCGUGGAUCGGCUCGCGCCUAAGCCAAGAAGAGACGGUAGAGCUUGUAGCCAUCCUCCAAAACAACAAGGACAUGUUCGCAUGGUCGCCAUCAAACAUGCCAGGCAUUAAUCCCCAGAUCAUCUGCCAUUGUCUUCAUGUCAACCCAACCAGCAAACUAGUGGAGCAGAAGAGACGCAACUCCACUCUCGAGCGAUUUGCCAUCAUUGAAGCCGAGAUCGACAAGCUUCUAACUGCCGGCUUCAUUGAAGAAGUCUCCUAUGCAUAAUGGCUGGCCAAUUUUGUUCUAGCGGCAAAGAAAGACCAAGACAAGUGGUGAGUAUGCAUCGAUUACACCGACCUCAAUAAGGCAUGCCCUAAAGAUAACUUUCCACUGCAAAGAAUUAAUCAGUUUGUAUAUUCAACUUUCAACAAUUAACUGCUAAGCUUUAUAGACGCCUACUCUAGCUAUAAUUAAAUCAUGAUGGAUGAAGAUGACAAAGCAAAAACUCAUUCAUCAUCGAAAUGGGUACAUAUUGCUACAAAGUCAUUCUCCUUGGACUGAAGAACGCCGGAGCAACCUACCAAAAGCUGGUGAACAAAAUUUUCAAGGAGUAAAUUGGCAAGACUAUGGAGGUCUAUGUAAAUUGACAUGCUAGUUAAAGCUUCCCAACGAGUAGACCACAUCAAGAAUCUUGUCGAAGCAUUCAGCCUGCUCCGAAAAUAUAACAUGAAUUUGAAUCCAAGCAAGUGCACAUUUGGAGUCUCGUCCGGCCGAUUUGUGGGAUACUUAGUCACCCAAAGAGGCAUUGAAGCACAUCCGAAUAAAUUAAAGCCAUACUCAACAUGAAGUCACCUGCCACAACAAAGGAGAUACAAAGUCUAACAGGUAGAGCAGUAGCUUUCAACUGAUUCCUCUCGAGUUCUACCGAUAAGUGCAGGUCAUUUUUCAAAGCCUUGAAGAAAGGACAAAAAGACAAAUGGGAUGAAUAGUGAGAAGUAGCUUUUCAAAACUUGAAGACCUACCUUACUUUACUUCCCCUGCUCUAAAAAAUGACACUAGGGAAUGAUCUGUUCAUCUACCUGGCGGUGUCUAACUCAGCAGUCAGCACAACUCUCAUUUGAGAAGAGCUGGAGGCACAACAUUUGGUAUUCUACACGUCAAAACCCUCCUCAAUGCAGAGACUAGCUAUCCAAAAAUGGAGAGGCUCAUUUUUUUGCUUGCAGUUUCUGCAAGAAAAUUAAAACCCUACUAUCAAGCUCACCGGAUAAUCGUUAUGAUGGAAUUUCAUUUGAGAUCAAUUCUUCAUAGCCCAAACGCUUCUCAGUGACUCAUGAAAUGGGUUAUCGAACUCAGUCAAUACGACUUCCUCUACCGGUCAAAGACUGCUAUAAAAGCCUAGACUUUAGCUGAUUUUGUUGUAGAGUUUACUCCGACAGCCGAAGAAGAGAAGUUGGUCACAAAAAGCAAGGAGAAUUCGAGAGUAGACUACACCUCCUCUGCCGAUCUAGAUCUGCCCAAAGACAUGUGGCACUACAUGUACACGGAGCAUCAAAUCAUAAGGGAGCUGGAGCAAGCGUCAUCAUAAGCACCCCAGAUGGAACUCUGUUAGAACAAGCCAUAAUACUGGGCUUUCCAGCUUCAAACAAAGAAGCAUAAUAUGAGGCAUUGCUCUUCAGGUUGCACCUAGCAAAAGAAUUGUCGAUCAAGAGAUUGGCCAUCUACUCAGACUCUAAGCUGAUCACGAAUCAAGCUUUAGGCGAGUGCAUGGCAAAACAUUCGAGAAUGAUCUAGUACCUCGACAAAGUCUAAAGACUUUUGAAAGAAUUCCCCAUUUUCACCAUCCAACAAGCUCCUCAGGCAUAGAACACUCAUGCAGAUGCAUUGGCAAGUUUAGGAUCAGCACUGGAUACCCAAUUCAGACGCUCCAUCCCUGUUGAACACCUCAACCGGCAAAGCAUCGAAGAAAUACAGCAAGUCCACUCGAUGCAGAUCGAUGAAGACCCUGGCUGGCAAGAUCCCAUCUUUGACUACUUGGUGAAUGAAAAUCUGACAACGAAUAAGUCCGAAGCUAGGAAGGUCCAACAGAAGGUUGCGAGGUACUACAAGCUCAUUUGCAAAUCAUACUCCGGCCCUCACCUCACAUGCAUAAAGUCCUCUGCAAAAUCCACGACUACGAGUAUGGCAACCACUAUGGUGGCAGGUCACUCUCUUAGAAGGCUCUAAACAUAGGGUAUUUCUGGCCUACCUACAUCAUGACUCCACUGACUAUGUCAAAAGAUGUGAUCACUGCCAGGGGUACAAGUCGGUUCCUAACAUGCAUGCUGAAGUCUACCAUCCAUAGAACAAUCCAUGGUCAUUCUUGCAAUGGGCCAUUGAUCUAGUAGGUCCGCUCUGGUGCCCGCCAAGAAAGACAUGAUGAUCGUCGCCAUUGAAUACUUUACUAAAUAGAUCAAGGCCGAAGCUCUGUCCCCUACUAAAGAAGCCGACGUGGAUCUCGCAUAUUGUGCGAUUCCCGGGUUCAAUACAGUUGAGCCGUUGGAUCCUAAUCAUUUUUAGAUAUGUUAAUCUAGACAUUUCCCGGAUCGUGAAUCGAUAUCCCGGAUACUUCAAAAUCGCGAACCCUUGGGCUAGGGUUUUAGAAAUCACUCGAUUGUAUGAUCGUGAUCAACCCGACCGUCCGAUCGAGAUCAAACUCUCGGGACAUAUGUCCUGAGUAUAUUGGAACUUCUAGAGGUUUUCGGAUAAUAAUUUUGAGGUCGUGGACCCGCGGGGUCCUAGGUUGACUUUUUGGGACUUUAGCGUUUUUUGAGUCCCGAGAUACUUAUAAACUAUUCCAAAUGGAAAGAAAGCUUUUAUGGGCAUAGGAACAAAUGUAAUUUGAUGCACGCACUUCUACGAGCCGGGGGUCAGGAUUUUUAAUUUAAUACUAUAUUGAGUAUUGUAUUAAUAGAAUAUGAUGGUAAUUGAAUCAGGCAUCCGGACACCAGUUGACCCGCAUGAGGGACCUUCAAGAGGUCCAGCGAGCAGGGACCAGCAGUGAGUGGACUCUUUGUUUUUAUAAAUGAAUUUAAGCAAUUCAGUUACAGUAUUUGAUCUUGAAUAAGUUUUAUUCAAAGAUUAGUGUUUUAUAAGCUGUUAUAUGCUUUUAAAUAUUUUGUUUUGCAUGAUGCCGAGUGGAAUAUCCUUUAAGGAUAUAAGGAAAGAGAAUUUUAGCUAAAUAUCAUAUAAAUGGCAGCAGAGUUCUAGAUUUAACAGAAAUUCAGUUGUUCACCAGAUUUUUCAGAAACUUUAUAUUUUCUUAAACCACCUUAGGUACCCAGAUAUACAGAUGUUGCCUUCGGUAAAUAAGUUGCCUUCAGAUAAAUUUGUUGCGUUCGGAUUUUAUUGGUUGCCUUCGGUUUAGUCAGCAUGCUUGACAGUUGGCCCACGAGUUCUAUGGUACCCGGACUCGUGCGGAGCGAGAAAUGCGGAUUAGGCUGACUACGGUCCCUGAAUCCUGCGAGUUGCGGCUCGGAUUGACCUUGUGUCACCGAGACCUGCGAGUAUGUGUCACCAAUGGUGAUGCGAGGAAUUGACGGAUAUUAGGUAUUGACGGAAAUAAGGGGUACACCAAGAUGGUAGUUUUAAACUGUUUUCAAUGCUUUUAAGAGAUUAAUGUUGACCAUGAGUAUGAUUGGCAUAUAUAUAUAUAUGUAUAAAUAGAUGAAUGCAUUGAUUUCAAUACAAAUAUAAUAAAGAGAAUGAUUUAGUUUUGUAUAACUAUUUUUUUUACAGUGGGGUUAGUAUGUUCAUAUGUAUUUUCUAAACUUUGUUUUUGGGUCCACUUACCUUUUCAAUGUUUUGCGCCCCCAGGAAGUAGGCAUGCACAGUGAUCCACCACCAGGCCGUUUUCCACCUUCCGCGCUUUCCUUUCUAAUGUAGGACUUUUCUGUAAAAGAAUUGACUCCUUUUGUAAAUUCUUAGUAGUCGCUCUGAUAAUUUGCCCUAAAAUUAGAAUUUAACUGUUGGAAUGUAUUUAUAUACGUAUGCUGGCAGUUGGUGUGUAUAUAUGCUUGUUUGACAGGUGUAAAUUUUGGAAAUUGAUCCAGUUACAAGGAAGACUCUACCGAAUUUUCGGUAGGAGUCAACCUUGUUUAUUUAUUGUACUUUGUAGGGAAGGGCAAUUAGGUCAUUCAUGCCUGACACCCGCCAGGUGCAGACACGCGCAGGGUCCGACUCGGAUUCCAAAGUGGAAUUUGGGUCGGGUCCUGUCAAAGCCAAUCCAAGAUAGUCCCAGUAUUUAGUCCAGUCCACGACAGUCCACCGUACCAAAUGAGCCCUUAGGGAUUUUUAUCUUUAGCACCCAUAGGAUGCCCACGCUUUAGGCAUGCCUUUGAUGUAUUAUCAUGUUGUCCUUCAAGGAUAUCAAUCCUUGCUUGAGUAUUUACAGCUGGUAUAUAAGACUUCAUUACUUUCUUUGUAUCAGUAAAUGCGUCCAGUAAUUGAUUUGCAAUUCUCUGCAAAUGAAUGAUCCUUUGAACUUCAUGUUCACUUUGAUUUGUAUGUGGAUCAAGAUGAGAUAGUGAUGAUAGAUUCCAUGUAAUUUCACGCCGUUCUUCUGGAAGCGGUACUUCUUCUCCCCUUAACAGCGGGAAAAUUGUCUAAUUAAAGUGACAAUCCGCAAAUCGGGCUAAAAAUAUCUCACCUAUUAAGGGUUCAAGAUAUCUAAUGAUGGAUGGAGAAUUAAAUCCAAUGUAUAUUUCAAGACGUCAUUGGUGGCCUAUCUUAAUUCGUUGUGGUGGAGAAAUUGGAACAUAAACAGCACAACCAAAAAUCCUUAAAUGAGAAAUAUUGGGUUGUUGUCAGAAAACAAGUUCUAAUGGAAAAUAUUGAUGAAUAGAAGUAGGGGUUGGCAUCGGAAAAAAAGAACCGAUCAAUUGAACCAAACCGGAUCGGAAAAAAUUGAAAAAAACCAUGUUGACCAAAAAGUCAAACCAAAUUCAAAAAAGCGAACCGAACCGGUUCUAACCGAUUCGCGUUCCAGAUCUAUACAAACCGAACUGGGCCUAACUGGCCAAAUUAAAAUAUAUAUAUUUAAUAUUUAUUUAUAUCCAAUGCUAUAUUUUUAAUCUCAUAACUAAUAUUUACCCAAGCUCAAUUUCAAAACAUCUCUCUUUUCUUGCCUAAAUAUUUCUUUUUGUAUGAAAUUGGGUAAUUUGUUAAUUUUCAAGCCAACAAAAAUAAAAUUUCAGUUGAAAUUUGUAUUAAAAAAUAAUUUGAAAUAAUAAUAAUAAUAAUCUGGUUCAAAACUGAACUAGACCAAAACUGAUUCAACCCGAACUGAACUAUUUUAUAAAUUUUUUUUGUUAAAAUUAGGUAAAUAGGCUCGAACUGAACCAGGUAAAUAGGCUCGAACCGGACUGUGCCCACCCCUAAAUAGAAGUUGGAUGAAUGCGUACUAAAGAUGCGGCAUGUAAUAUAGCAUGUCCCCAGGUCGAAAGUGGGUAAUUGUGAUUUUAAAAGCACAGGUGUAGCAAUCAUUUGAAGGCGUUUGAUAAAAUUUUCUGCUAAGCCAUUUUAAGUAUGAGUGUGUGCAAUAGGGUGUUCAACAUUAAUACCAAUUAACAUGCAAUAAUCAUCAAAUGCUUGAGAUGUGAAUUCAUCAACAUUAUCAAGACGAAUAGUUUUAAUGGGAUAAUCAGGAAAUUAUGCCUUUUAUUUGAUUAUUUGAACAAGAAGUUUUGCAAAAGUAAUCGACCGUGUAGAAAGUAAGCAAAAUGUGACUAUCUAGGUGUACAUCUAUUAAUACCAUAAAAUAAUGAAAAGGUCCAAAUAAUGGGUGAAUAGGUCCACAUAUAUCUCUUUAGAUUCGCCGUAAAAACAUGGGAGAUUCACCAACAACUUUUACCAAUGAUGGUCUAAUGACAAAGUUUCCUUGUGAGAAAGCCUCGCAUGGACAGUCAUUAUAUGAAAGAAUCUUGGGAAAUAGCCCUAAAUGCCACCAUGUUUAUAAUUGUAACUGAAAAUACCACCCUUUUUUAAAAAAUUUGGAACUAUAACCUAUAAAUAUAUAUUUAUUGUCCCCUUAUUGCACACAUAUCACUUUUGCUGAAAUUUUAUUCUCUCUGUUUUGCAAAAGUUCUCUCUCGGCUCUCUCUCUUGGCUCCGCUCUGUUUCUCUUCACUCUCCCGUGGCUUUGCUCUGACUCUCUCAUCUCUCGUCGCUCAGCUCUGAAUCUCUCGUCGCUCAGCUCUCAAUCUCUCGUCGCUCAGCUCCGACUCUCUCUUCUCUCUUCCUCUCCCAGCGACAGGUACUGUUCAUCGGCAUUUUCUUACAGUUUAAGGGUUUCUCUGAAGUUGGUUUAGGGUUUAUGCAUUUCUCUGAAAUUGGUUGAGGGGUUUGUUUGAAAUUGGUUGAAGGUUUAGGGGUUUCUCUGAAAUUAGUUUAGGGGUUUGUUCGAAAUUGAUUGAAGGUUUAGGGGUUUCUCUGAAAUUGGUUUAGGGGUUUCAUCGAAAUUGGUUUUGGGGUUUCUCUGAAAUGAUCUUAGUAUGAUGAUUCCUUGUUUCAAACAGUGAAUGGGUUUGUUCUUUGUGGACUGAUGCUUGCACUGCUGUUGUGUUGCUGUUGCUAUUGCUGUCGUAUUGUGUUUUUUUGCUAGUGUAUUGCUAAUGUAGUGAUGUUGUGUUGGCAUUUUAGUGCUGUUGUAUUUUUAGUUUUAUUAUGGUUUUAUUAUGGUUUUUGUAGCAGUUAUUGAUUGGUAUUUGGUGGCUUAGUAUGAGUCUUUAUGACCAUUGCAUUUAACCUUCUUACAAGUCUAAUUGGUAUCUAUUUUGUUUGUUGAAGAUGAUAUCUAAAGUGUAAGACAAUUAACCUGUGUAUAUCAUUUUGAACUUGUAAACUCCCAACCAUAUCAUACUUUUUGUUUGAGAAUAAUGCUUGUUAAUUCGACAUAUUUUUUUAUAACUCUGUUUACUAAGUUUAGGGCUUGCAUAUUGGAUAUGGAUGAGUUUUCUUUAGAACCAUAUGUGGUGUAAUAUGAGUUCUUUAAAAGUUUGCUAUUUUCUGCUUGAUCAUUGUGUGCUUAAAAGAAAGCGGGAAAUGAGUGAAGAUGAGAACCUACCACCAGCAGGUGUGGUUUAGAGAAAUGGGGACAUUGAUUUUGCUAUAAACUAACUGUUUAAGCUUUUGCUUUUCUUGUUUGUGUAUGGAUACUUAGAGAACUCUGUUUAUGAGGAGAACUUAUAAUUUUGUAAUUGUACAUGUCUUACAAACAUUUUAUACAGUUUUGAUGGUUUAUUUAUGAAUUUAUCUUUGAUAUUUUGUUAAGAAAAAACUGAAGGGAUGGUGCCAAUUUCUUUCAUUUUCUUACAUUUGAAAGGAGGGCCAUAGUAGAGUCAGUAUUGUGGUUGCCACUAAUUCAUAGGAUGUUCCAUUACAUUAUACCUUGAAGUGAAUCAAUUGUUUCCCGAUGUCUUGUUGUUUUUUAAAACUCUUUCUAGUAAGAUAGAUUUGUAUCGUUAGUCUUGAAUUGUUCUGAAUUAGGCUUGUGCUACCGCACAUUCCCAUUCUAGCUGAAGCUGUCUCAUGAUUAGAUGGUGUGAUUAUAUGGUGUGUUGAGAUGUGUGUUUAGAUAUUAUAUUAUGCAGGAGUGGUAGAGUACUGGGUGUCUUGAAACUUGGCUUUGAGCCAUUAAAUUAGGAGGUCAGUUGUAAAUAGCUGGGGUUUUGUUUAUGAUAUGUAUUUUUUGUUUUUUUUUUUCACUUCAUAUCCUAUAAUAGGCUGUUGAUAAGUGGUGGUUGUUUAUUGCUUGUUAUUGUCUAGAUUGCAACCGACUGAAAUUUUGUUUAUAAUAUUGGCAUGCAGGGAAAUAUGAUUGGUCAAAUGAAGUUGAUGAUUGCAGAGGAACAAAAGUUCCAAGGGAAAGCAUUGUCGCUAUCCCAUACGAAGACCGCAAUCACUACGAUAAAGGAGAAAUUCACUGAACAGCAGCUGCAAAUGUUUGAACAGAGUUGUUUUGGUCAUCUCCUACGGAUUGAGGACCUCAAGUGGACUUCUCCAAUUGUCCACGGCUUGCUGCUCAGGAAAGCUGAUCCCAAGACAGUUUCCCAACUGAACGGGAUCAAAUUCAUUGUUGGCAAUAAGGUCAUCCAAUUCACGGCGCAGCAAUUUUGCAUCGUGACAGGGCUAAGGUUUGGAAACCUUCCCUUUAUUCCGAUUCCCACUAAUGAGAACUGCUCAUUGAAACGGAAGUACUUUGCUAACGAUAAAACUGUGAACCUGUUGGAAUUAGAAAAGGCCUUCCUCGAAUGCGAUGAUGUGGACGAUGUAUUGAAGCUCGGAUUCGUAUACUUUGCUGUGUUUGUGCUGUUGGGCAAUGAAAAACAUGUCCAUAUUGACAUGCGAUAUUUGAAGUUGGCGGAAGACCUUGAAGACUUUGGGAAGUAUCCAUGGGGUGCUGUGUGUUAUGCGAAGACAAAUGCGUCACUGCUGAGGGCACUUUGUGCAGAUUACCAGCGAGUGAAAGUGCCCACAAAAACUGCAAAAACAAAAAAAUCUGGAAAGAAACCAACAACAACGGCAACUGGUAGACCAAGAGAGUACCACCUCAAAGGUUUUGCCUAUGCACUUCAGGUGAGCAAAUGUCCAUUGAUGUUGAAGUUAAAUUGCAUUUGUUUACAAUGACUGACCUUUUAUUCCUCAAACCAGAUUUGGGCAUAUGAGGUAUUUCCAGCUUUGGCUGCACUACAUUUGGUGGUGCACGAAGAUAAUGCGUACAUCCCUCGUUUACUACAUUGGAGGAGCAAUAGUUCGCUGCGUUUUUAUGAGCUAAUGAGCCAAGUAUUCGAGAACCGUGAGGUUAGUUCAGUUUUUAAUGAUAAUGUUAGGGAUAUGAAAAUAUAAUAUAAUUAGUUUACUGAUAUGUAUAUUGUAUGUGUAAAUUGCAGGUUGAUGUGCAGCUUCUCCGGCCAUCUGUAAUGGACAAGUUGCAGCCAUAUUGGACUUGGGGUGACAGUGCUGACGACACUGAAGAACUUGUUGACUUGUUGGGCGAUGACGCUGAACAAAAAACCGGCACUUCUGCCUCUGUAGAAGAAAAAGAUGAGGACAUUGACGAAACUGCUAGCCUUCCGUCGUCUUCUAAGGCAAGCAUUAAUUUUGUUUCCAAGAUAUACGUCAUAAUACAAUAGGAAAAAAGCUGCUGUAUUGUUGCAAUAUAAUUUGGAAAUAUUGUAACACUUGCGUUAUAAUUGAAUGCAGGGUACAGUCGCGUCCACUGAGUUAUGUACUUUGAAGCCUGACUUUCAAAGGACAAAGGAUGAAUUGGCCAAAGUUGCCAUAUCAAAUCGAGCGCUUCGCAACAGAGUGCAUCAGUUGGAAGACAUGGUACGGAAGGAGUCAUUGAAAGUUGAAAGAGAGUUCGAAAAAAAUAAAAAGUGUGUGGAGGAUUUCCGCAACACCCUGGCUUCAAUGGAGCAUUCUUUUAAGGUGGAGAUAGAGCAACUGAAAAUACGAAAUCGUGGGGUGAAUGAAGGUGGGGAAGGACAUGAGGACCUCGGUAGUCCUCAUAUGAAUGAAGGAGCAACCGAUGACUUCUCGCCUCCACAUGAGUAUGUUAGUCCGCCUACAGAACCGGCAGUAAUGGAAACACAAGUCCCCGCUGAUGGAGCCAAACCAUCCGCAGCCAUUGUAGUCGAAGAGGCAGCAAUGACUGCUGCAGUUGCUGACUUAGAAGUGCAUGAAGCAGCUGAGCAGGCACAAUCUGAGAAGCUGCCUACCCCGGAAGAUGUGGCCGGGUGUGACGAAAUCUGCCAAAGAGUGUUGUUUUUGUUGCAAGAUUGGAAAAAGACUCAGAGUAUGCCAUCGGGAGGUCCAAUGAAUCCUCCAAGUCUACCCACAGUUAGUAUGGCUGGUGAUGAAGAAGGGAGUUCGAGUGUUGAAAAAAAGGAAGUGGAAGGUAAAGGGUGCAGACAGAAGCGCCCGACGCAGACAUUGUUGAGCCCAUUUACUGAUCCUUUGAGGAAGAAGAGGACGAUGAGUGUGUCGGCCGCGAUUGCAACCCCGCCAUGUUUUGAUCCAACAAAAUCCGUGCCCAUUGAAGAUGUGAAGGCAGUAAUAGAGUUUUGCACUGCCUGGAAAAACGAUAUCAUGUUAGGUUCUUUACCUUUGAAAUCCAAUCUUCAUCCUAUUCUAGUAUGUAGUCAUAGACUAAUGACAAAAUGUAGAGUUUGCUUUAAUAUACUUAUGUAUUUUUGUCGGAAUUAUGAGAUGAGCACAAAAGUAAUCGUUGCAAGUUUGCCUUUUGUAGUGCGGAGGUGCAGCUGGAAUCAUUUUCAGUGGGCGCAGAUUUUUUCUACAAACUUAUCGAUGACACAGAAUGGGUUAGCUCAAGGGUAAGAAUACACAAAGCUCUACUUUAUUACAAUAAUUCAAUUGUUUUCCCACCUUUUUUAAUUGUAGAGUUGUAUGAAAUUGUGCUCAUAGUAUAUAUGUCAACUUUCAGCACCUGGACAUGGCAACCUUUCUUAUCCGGAAAAGGCAACUCUCUCAUCCGUUGGUAUUUGGAACUGACUGGACAACGGCAGAUUAUUGCUUGCAGGUAAACAUGUUACCAGGUUACAUUCACUGGUUCAUUUGCUUUCGGUUGUGAUUUUCUAAUAUGCCUCCAUUUCAAUUUAUGCAGCAAUUUCUAGAGCCGUUGAAACCGACUGUGAAGAAACGUGGAGCGAAGAAGGCAGCUGCUUCAAACACCGUUGACCUUCCACCUAACAAGCUCAAGAAUAUACAUCACUAUGUGCGCGGUACGUGGCAGCACGGGUAUGGCCAAGCUUGGACAAAAGUCCGGAAGGUCUAUUUUCCAUAUAAUCUUCGAGGGUCCCACUGGGUUGCAAUCGUCAGACAUACUGCAACUGUGUAUGACUCCUAUGUUGCGUAUACCAAAUCUUAGAGGCUGGUUACACUGCUGCACCCUAUUAACGAUACGCUAGCACGAGUGCUGUACGAGAUGCACUUUUAUGAAGAUUCUGAGGUUGAAGAGGUUAAGCAAAAGGGGCUGCAGAUGUCGAGGUUUACGCCAUUCUCAGUUUGCAGCAUUGCAGGUCUUCCACAACAACGAGAUGGGUAAGCUUUGUCAAUUUAGUGUAGUUUAUCCAAAUUUUACAUAACUGCAGUUCUAAUUUCCCAACUUAUUGGCCUGACAGUACAUCUUGCGGAAUCAUGACCGUCAAAUUCAUCGAGCAUCUUAGUGCUGGGAUUUCGGUGGAUAAAGUUGACCCUUUGAAGAUCAAAUAUUACCGACUGAAGCUUGCAAUUGAGGGUUUAAGGGGGGAGGCAUAUUUAUGAGGUAAAUGUCUUAAUGUCCGUGAAUUCACCUCACUAUGGACUUAUGACUUGGGAAUUCACUUUGCUCAAACUUAUGUCAAGAACUCCUUCAUAUGAACAUGCAGACGUAGAUGCUUUAGUGGGGGUACUUCAUAUGGUCAUCAUGCCUUUUUGCUAGAGCUAGUUGGUUUAGAUAUUAUGGUGAGGUGUAAUAUUGUACAGUCUAGAAGCAGUGGCUAAUUGCCUUACAUGGCACACACACUGUUUCGAUUUUGAAAGUUAACUAUUUUGUACACCUCCAUAUAUGAAUAUAGUUGCUCUUUAUGGAUGCUUUUGUAGCCAUUGUUCACAUUUUUUGUCUGUGGUUUUGGGAAUCUGUUACUGGACUUACUGAAGCAUACAACUCUGUUAACAUUUCUCCAUUUAGUUUUGACUUAGUUCUUUGUAAAUAAUUGAUGCUCUUACUUUCAUUAGUUUGAUAUGAUUUCUUCUAAUAUGUGAUAUAUUUUUCUUCCCUUCAUAAUUGGACAUAAGAUAUGCAUCUUAGUGCUGGAAUGGACUGUUAUGUUUCCGUAAACUACUUAAUACUGAUUUGCCUACGCUGAACUGCCCAUUUUCCAUGCACAGAUAUUCAUAUUUUUUCAAAUUUGUUAGAAAUUUAUCAUUUUGUAAAAACUCUGGUUUGUUAGAGUGAAUGGUAAUAUGAGCAUGAUAGCUGUGGAUGAGUUUUUCUACUGUUGAUGAAAGCCAGUCCCUCCCUUCCUUUGUCCUUCUUGAUCUUACAAGGGCAAGCAAGCUGAUGGGGGUUACAAGAUUUGAUACCUAUCUUAAACAUUGUGAAGCUGAUAUGAGAAACAUUGCUAACAGAUUCUUGGUCCUGUCUAUUUCAGUGAGUGGCAGAAAUUCUUAUGAUUACUCUUAAUUAGUUUUAGGUGAUGGGGGUUACAAGAUUUGAUACCUAUCUUAAACAUUGUUUUAUGCUUGUUUUGGGUAAAUGAUUCUUCAGUACCUGUCUAUCGUUGAGCAACAUUCCUAUCAGUCAAACAUAUUCUCCAGAUGUCAAACGUGAGCUGUUGAUGCUUUCUUUACCUGCAAUUUUUGGUCAGGCCAUUGAUCCCUUAGCACAGCUAAUGGAGACUGCUUACAUUGGUAGAUUGGGUAUGUUUUCACUCCUUUAAAUGAGUUGAACGACUAAUAUUUGUAUAAUGCAUUGAACUUUGGAGCUUUUAUUCAAUGUUUUUGGCUUUUUUGUUUUUCCAUAGGUUUUGUGGAGUUGGCUUCAGCUGGUAUUUCAAUGAACAUCUUCAAUUAUAUAUCAAAGCUAUUUAAUAUCCCUCUCCUCAGUGUUGCUACAUCUUUUGUUACUGAAGAUCUUGCAAAGAGUGAACGUAUAGCUUCUACUUCAGGUGAAGUUUAACUUUUUUUAAUUACUUGCUCAUCUCUGUUGGACAUCAAUUUUGGUUAGGGUUCAUGUCUAAAUUAGAGCAUAGGUGACUUAAAAUUUCUCCAUUCGUAAUCUAAAUUCGGCUAAUCAUUGUACAGAAAAUGGUUGGCUAGGAGACAUUACUAAUGGUAAACCCGAACGUACUGAUGGAGUAACUGAGAGAAAGCAGCUAUCUUCAAUGUCUACAGCUUUACUAUUAUCAGUGGGGAUUGGGAUUUUUGAGGCCGUAGCCUUGUCUUUGGGAUCUGGAUUGUUUCUGAAUAUGAUGGCCAUAUCAAUGGUAGGUUCCCUGAUCUAAAAUUACAGCUCAUACUGAUUUGUUAUCUGCCUGCUGUUAUCUUUGUUUACAUAAACAUACAAACAUAUGUUUUCUGUGUGUACUGUGUACAUACAUGUUUACAUAUUUAUGUGAAUAAUUACUAUACAAUUUUGUAGGUCUAGUGUAUGUGUGGUUACUUAACAGGUGAUAGUAUAACUUUCGUGUAAUUUUAUUAAUUUCUGUGAGUCUGGGUGGGGGGAGCCAUAUGUUUUGUGUUUUUUCUUCUCUCAAGCUCUUGGCUUUGAAUUUUAAGCAAGAUUUUUCUUUUUUCUUGAAUAUCACAGGACUCACCUAUGCGCAUUCCUGCAGAACGGUUUCUUUCACUAAGACCAUUUUCUUACAACCACACAUGUACACACCUCUAUGUGUGUGUGUGUGUGUGUGUGUGUGUGUGUGUGUGUGUUACUGGUCUGUUAUUCUCGCAUAAUGUUUUUAUAACUUUGUCCCCAACUAGUUGGUUUCUAUUUGUCUUUAGUUAAGCUUGAGUGGUCCAUCUGGUUAAUUGAUGUAUUUUGCUUUGUGCAGGUAUUGGUAAUCUCCUAGCUGCAUUUUUAUUACCCAUCCUUAUGUAUUAUUUUGGUUUGGGUGUAACUGGUGCAGCCCUUUCCACUGUUAUAUCUCAGUAUGUGAUUUUCAAAACAGUUUCUGUUAAUAUUCCUUUUUUGCUUUACUUCGCAAAUGAACAUAUUUUGGAAUUUCUGUUUUCAGAUACACUGUCACCUUUUUAAUGAUCUGGUUUUUAAAUAAGAGAGCUAUACUAUUGCCUCCAAAGGUGGGAUCAUUGCAAUUUGGUGGAUACAUAAAAUCUGCUCAGUUCCUUUUCUUUUUCUUUAAACUUUUACCCUCUCAUAUAUCUGAAAAUAUAAGCCCUUUUUUUCAAGUGUUCUGCUUCAAUUAUUUGCUUGACUAUCAACACUAUCAUAAUAUUUGACUUUUUUCGUUUUCUGAUUGAGCAGUGCAUGUAUCUGGACAGUGUGUGUCUUAAUGUUUCAUUUUUUCUUUGUGAUGCUAGUUAAACCUCGAGAUAAUUCUCUCUUGUCUUCCUUUUCAAAGUUCUUUCCCUAAUUGCUUUUGUUUUCAACUCUGGGAUGAUACAUGUGGUUUUCUUCUUGGAACAACUCUUGCUGUUCUUACUACCUUGACAUUGGGAACAUCAAUGGCUGCUCGUCAAGGUCCAGUAGCUAUGGCUGCUCAUCAGAUAUGUAUACAAGUUUGGUUGGUUGUAUCCCUUCUAACUGAUGCAAUGGCUGCAUCUGGUCAGGUAUACUCUCUCUCAUUUUUUCAUCUCAGUUCGUAUGUACUCAUUUCCAUUUGGUGAUCCAGAUCAAUCAGUGGGUGAAGUCUAACUUUCAGUUUUACUUCACCCCGAGUGUGGAAUUCUUUUCCUAUUUUAACUGGACCAAAUUUCACAGAUUUUUGUCUGCAAAUUGGGGUUUUGUGAUGAAAUGUGUGUCUUUGCAUUUGACAUCAAAUUUACACAGCUAAAAUGUGUUUGUUUGUAGGCCCUGAUUGCUACUUAUUUAUGUAAAGGUGAAUACAAAAUUGUGAAAGAAGUUGCUGACUCCGUGUUAAAGGUAUAGCUUUUUUUUAUCAUCUAUAAUUACAUGGAUGCUCCCAGAUUUGCCUGAUCUUUGGUGUAGUUUCGUUAUGUUGCAUAUCAGAAAAAGAACCAACUGAAUUCAUCGCACCAUCCAAAAAUUAAAUUUAAGUCAUGCCACUUUCUUGCAGGGUCUAAAAGAAAUGGUUGAGUGUUUGUCUGGAACUUUGACUAAGUCAACUGAUGCUAUUGGGCAAGACGAUAUUGAAGGUCCAGGAAUGAAACCAACAAACCUCCUGAGGUUUGAAUAAGAACUCUGUUAUCUAGUAUUUACAUCAUUCUUGAACAUUGUAAUGGAGCCCAUCUGCUUGUAUGCAUAUGUGAUGAUUUAUGCUGAGGUUCCCAUUUAUAGCAUGCCUCUUUUUUCUUUUUUACUUUGCUUUUUUACUUUUCGCUGGUCAUAAUGUGCGUGGCCGGUAGAUGCAUUUGGCACUAUUGAACUGACUCGGUGGCAGUACAAAUUACCAUAGGUCCUAUCUGAACUGCCCUCAUCAUGCUCAUCUGUACUUAACCUAGUUGUUUUUGCAUGUUGGUCUCAACCAAGUGUUGAUUGCAAUAUUCUAAACAAGAUGACCAUAUACUGUUAUUUGAUGUAGGUAUACGUAUGAGAUGGCUUAGCUUUAAUUGGUUUAGUUGUUCCAAGUUUUAUGUACACAAUCUCACAGUAACUGCCGAGUUGUUUUUCACUUCUCGUAUUUCUCCGUGGUAUUUAUUCGCUCAUAUUCUGCUUAUGGAGAUGAAGUAAAAAUUACUGUGGAGCUUAUAGUAUGUUUAGUUUAUUUUGUGGGCAUGACUUAUGUUCUUGAUAACCCUUUUUCUACAAAAUCUCUAGUUUCUGUCAUCUGAAGUCUUUUCAGUCAUUCAAGUUAAAAAAUCUCCAACCCACUUUGGAAUGGCAGAACAAGUGUUAGAAGGCCAUAAAGAAAUAGCCACAAGUUCUGAUACAUGUACAUAAAAAGUGUGAAGUUCAAACCUACAGACGACAAGGGAAGAAGGAAGCUCUGUCCCAUAGAGGUGAUCCAUGGAGUAAACAUGUUUAUGCCACCAUUCCAAAUUGACUGGCCCCUCGAAUUGCACAAUGGCAAUAUGCUCUCCUCCUGCGACUCUAAAGUAGGCAAAACACUGGUGUUGGAAGGACAUGUAACAGGGUUAUUGUGCAUUCCAUUGUACAAGCUUGAAUGGAUUUUAUUUUCUGUUGUAUUUGGCCCUUCUCUUUUGAAGCAUGCCAAAAAUCAUCCUGGUUUCGUAAUAUGUGGUUUGUGGCCAAUUCAUUUACCGUGGAUGUUGCAUUUUUGUACCCAAUAUUUGAUAGCUGCCUUCUUUUGAAGGACAAUUAAUUGAGGGAGAGAAUUACUUUCCUUUUGAAUAUGAUUCCAUGUGCAACUCCAACUAUCAUUUGAAAGGUCCACAUCAAUUCAUGGUAAUAUAAGGAUGGAUAACAAUUGUCGUGUCCGUCAUAGUUGAAUUCAGGAUUACUUUCAACGAAGUGUAGACUUAUUAGACCACAUGCCAUUGACAUACGAUAUAACAGCAAUAUUAGGUCAAUAUAAGUGCACUAUAGAGGCAAUAUUAGAGCAAUAUAAGGGCAAUACGAUAGCAAUAGUAUUCCACUAUAUAUACAAUAGGGUGGCAAUAUGCAUACACUAUCUACACAAUAUACAGGCAAUAUCAAGGCAAUAUACAUGCAAUAGAACUACAAUAUUAAGUCAAUCUACAUACAAUACAUACACAUUACAGACAACAUUUCACCCAUGCAAAAGAAAUCGCCACCGAACCUUAACAAUACUAUCCCGCGAAGGGAAAAUGAAGGCAACAAAAGAUCCAUGUACUCAGGUGAGAUGAACUGAAGCAGCACUCACCGUUACUACAGGUCCAUCAAAAGAUCCAUGUCUUUGUCCUUUCUCCUCGCUGCAUGCACGAGGCUAUGAUGAGCCAUUCCUUCAGCAUCCAUAUUCAGCACCUGCCAGACACCAGCUACAUCAAUUUCACUCCAAUUGUAGUCUGGUGAGAUGACCGAAGCAUAAUCUCGGAACAUUUCGAAGCCGUUGUUGAAACAUUCAACCAUUUCAUGGUUAUAUUCUUCAGAUUGUGUGAAUUUUUCGACGGCAUUUGUCUUUCUCUCUUCCAAUUUCAACUUCAACGACUCUAACUCUUUGCUCCGACUUUUUGCUUUUAGAGUUUGCUUCACCUCUCCUGCGUAUGCUUUGUUCAACUUGUUCGCCAAGUUUCCCAUAACUUGGCCAUGAAUAUCGCACUUACUCUCCCACCAAUCCGUUGCCUUUGACAUAUAUUGGAGGUGGUGCUUGACGGCAGAGAUUUGGUCAAGCGGAUCAUUGAUCUCAGCCUCACUUCCAGAUGAAGUGGGAUCAUGAUUGGGAGUCCGAGGUGGAGAUGGGAAUGGCACAUGCCACGGCUGGUCCCCCGGGUAACUGACAUGCUCAUUUGGAGGGCGUACAUCCGACAUCUUUAAGUAUUGCUGGGGACAAUUCACAGCUGUUGCCUGCAACAAAACAAAUAAAGCUACAUUCAGUCUCCAGUUGUAAACGACAACAUGGUUAGCUUUAGUGGAGAAUAUGUGUGCUGCACUAAGACUAAUUACCUUUCCCGUUAAAAAGGUGCCUCUGUUGCAGUUCUAUAUAGGAAGGUUCAGUUAUAUGUACGAACUACUAUGAAGUAUAUUGCGUGUUUAGUUGGUGCAUUCAAUUGAUGGGAUUGCAAACUACACAAUUAACUCCUUGGCUGCAAUUUACAGCAGUACAACAUUACAUUAACAACAACAAAAAAAUGCUUCCAAACGACAAAAAAGCAAACCUUAAUGGGACAUUGUAAAUUGUGGAUUUCAACCCAAAAUAGGACUAUGUCACUAAGCAUUUAUUGCGAAUUUCAGAAAAGAAAAUUGGAAAUUACCGAAAUUGGAAAAUUGGAAAAGUGAAAACUUGGAAAAUGGGAAAUAAAGAAACUUGAAAAAUUGGAAAUAGAACCAAAGGAAAAUUGGAAAAUCGGAAAUACGAAAAAAUGGAAACUUGGAAAAUUGGACAUAGGAAAAAAGGAAAAAUUGGAAAGAGGAAACUAGGAAAUAAGAUAAAAUGACAGUUGGAAAAUUGGAGAAAAUUGGAAAAUUGGAAAAUUGGAAAAUAGGAAAAUAGGAAAAAGGAAAAAAGGACACUUGGAAAAUUGUAAAUUUGGGUAAUUGGAAAAUAUAGCAACUUGGAAAAUUGGAAAAUUGGAAAUUGGACAAAAGGAAACUUGGAAAAUAGGAAAAUAGGAAAAAGGAAGAAAUGGAAACUCUGAAGAGAAGAAAAUUGGAAAAUUCUAAAUAGGAAAUAGGAAAAAAGGACACUUGAAAAAUAGGCAAAUUCGCAAAUUGGAUAAUUGAAAAUUUGGAAUAUUGGAUAACUGGAUAAUUGCAAACUAGAAAAUAAGGCAACUUGGAAAAUAGCAAAAUUGGAAAUAGAACAAAAGGAAAGUUAGCAAAUUGAAAAAUUGAAAAAUUGGAAAAAGGAAAAAGAAAGAAACUUAGAAAAUAGUCCAAUUGGAAAAUAGAAAAUUGGAUAAUUGGACAAAAACUGAAUUUGAAAAAUGGAAAUAGGAAACAGGGACACAUGGAAAAUAAGAAAAUUGGAACCGAAUUGAAAUUGUGGAAAUGGGAAAUAAGACAAUUGCCAUAUUGGACAAUUUUAUUUACUUUCUGAAUUAGGCAAAGUAGGCAACUUUUUUUAAUUACAUAAUGGGAAAAUGAGAACAUUGAAAAAUUGGAAAACUGGAAAUAUAACAAAAGGAAACUUGGGAAAUUGCACAAUAGGAAAAUAGGGAAUAGGCAAAAAUAGGCAAAAAUAAUGAGAAAUUGGAAAAUUGGAUGACACAUGGAAAAUAGGAAAAUAUGAAUAAUGGAAAAAUGGAAACGAAUUGAGAUUGCUGAAAUGAGAAAUAAGACAUUAACCAUAUUGGUCAAUUUGAAUGAGUUGGUCAAUUAGGCAAAUAGGCAAAUCCCUUAUUUGAAUUAAAUAAUGGGAAAAUGACCAAGUUCGGAACGUCCAACAUACAACUAUAUUACAAAAAGGCAUACAGUGAACUGGCUAAUAACUCCCGCCCAAUACUAUCCCGCCUAAGACUCCCGCCCAAUACUAUCCCGCCUACGACUCCCGCCAAUCCCUCCCGCCAAUAACUCUCUGAGUUACUCCAGGUCAUUAAAACCUGCCUAUAUUAAUCAACCCAGCUGUUUGAAAUGAAAACUUCCAUCACAUUAACUCCUGCUUGCAGCCAUUACCUUCCCCACUGAUUUCACUCACAUUUCAUUUAGUCCCCCUUUUUUCCAAUUAAGUUGUACACCAGGCUACAAUAAAUAUCGAAGACCAUGGACCAUUACCUCACACCAAACCCAACGCUUUCAAUUAUUGAAGGAGGGGAGACUUAAACACAAGCCAAGUCACCUAAUUCACUCCCUGCAGACUUGGUCCAUGGCAUGCAGCAAUGUCGAGGCAAUACGAUGUUUUGGAAAAAUCUUCAUGCAGACAUAGUUUCAAAAAUUGUGGAGGGCCAAGGUAGAUGGGGUGUCAUAAAAAACCGCACAAUUCGCUCUCGUUAUCAUGCUCGCAUGCAUCUCCUACAUAUAAAGGCAAUGAAAGCAAAAAUUGAAAUUGCCCCUGCCACUGCAAUUAUGGUAUUCAAGGAAUCAGAAGCAAUGGCCAAGUUGAAGAAAGAAGAAGUGGAAAGCGGAUUUGAACUUUUUCGUAAGUUUGCAAAAAUAGUGGAUCCGGUAGGAUCUUGGGCCAACAUCACUGUGGCCGGGGUCAUGAAUUUCAUGGGUCGCGGUCACCGCACUUGAAGACUAUGCAACUUCGAAUUUGUCAACACCAGGGAAAUGAAACUAUGAGGCGGCCUAUUUUUGUAUUAUGUAAUGAUGGGGUGGCCUGUUGUUGUAUUAUGUAAGUUUGGAAUUAGGAUUUUAUGGAAUGAUGAAGCCUCUUUUUGUAUUUGUGCGUAUACAGUUUAUCGGUGUCCAGUUCAGUGGCGAUAUAGCAGCAAUAACUAUACAAUAAACAUGCGUAUAAUGGCAAUAUUAUGUCAAUAAGAGUACAAUAGAGUGAUGAUAGAGUUACAAUAUGAUCCUAUUACAGUACGUACUGCAUCAGAAUGUUUUUUAAAUUAAUUGGUCCAAAAAAAUACGAAUAAAUAAACAAAAAAGUAAUUACAAUUUGGAAAAAGGAUGAAUUAUACAUCCCUUAAAAGACAUAUGGCCUACAAUACAGACCUUCAAAAUGAACUAUAUAUAUAUAAUGCAUGCCUUGUAGCACCAUCACAUCCCCCCCUAAAUUACACAAACAUGACACCCCAAAACCUCAUGCUCCUUCCUCUUUCAACCCCUAAAUUAUCCAUUGGAUGCCCAAUACUAGAUCACUACUUGGGGGGUGGGAUACCCUGCAACUCCAUAACAGAAUUAGUAGGGGAGAGUGGUUCCGGGAAGACGCAGCUUUGUCUCCAACUUACGGUAUGAGCUCAGCUCCCACCCUCACAUGGCGGACUAGGGGGCUCCUCCGUCUACAUAUUCACAGAAUUCAGCUUCCUAUUUCGUCGAUUGCAACAACUAGGCAACCUUUAUCAUGCAUCAUACCCCAACUUAAUAAGGUUGGAGUCAUUGGAAGACAUAUAUGUUCAUGGUGUUCAUGAUGCUCAACAACUCAUCCAUGUCCUUGGAGACAUAGAAGCAUUUAUUGCCAUUGAUCACACCCGCCUACCUGUGAAACUCAUUGUCAUUGAUUCCAUUGCUGCAUUGUUCCGAUCACAGUAUCAGACAACACCGGCAGAUUUGAAACGGCGAUCUGAAAUGUUCUUCAACAUAUCUGGGACAUUGAAGGGUUUAGCAAAUAAGUUUGGGUUGGCGGUGGUUGUCACCAACCAAGUGGUGGAUUUUAUUGGGCCACAUGAUGGAGUGAAUGGGGUGAGGUUGGGAAACUUGGAGUCCCUGGACACAUCAGGCAGACGGGUGAGUCCAGCUUUGGGACUGGCUUGGGCACAUUGCAUAAAUUCAAGAGUGUUCUUGGCAAGACAUGAGCAAUCUAUUGAGGUUGACAUUCGUAAUGCUCCUUCAACAAGUAUAUGUAGUCAAACACACAGGACAUUUCACCUUGUAUUUGCCCCACAUCUGGCCUAUGCAUCGGCUGAAUUUGUAAUCAGAAAAGAAGGUAUAGUCGGAGUAUCACAGUAACUGUGUAAGAAAGGAAUUCUAAGAACUUUAAUGUUUUGGAUCCAUUUGGAAUUACAUUCCAGUCCCUUUAAUUUCGCACUCAAAUUAUAAUAGCAAUCUGGAAGCAAUACCAGUGCAAUAAACGUACAAUAUAAUCGCAAUCUGUCAUCAAUACAACAUGCUGUAGCAAUGCAACCGAAAUUAUGCAAAUUUAAAAGAAUUCCUAUUCAGCAUAACACGAAACCCACCAUGAAUAAAAGUAGAGUUUACAUGACCUACCAAAGCAACACAAAUCAUAUUGUCUAAGAUACAUUGCGCAAUGGAAUAUUGUUUUUACAGGUGCUUUUAUUGUGGCCUGCGGAACCGCACCUUGAGCACUUUCUUCUAAUGGUGCCCUCUCCUUGCGAGGGAAUUCUUAUCUUCUUUCGUCUGCUUGACAUGACCCUUGCCAUGGGAGGCAGCACAACUCGACUUCGAACAUCUUCAGGAAUAUCCCACAUUCCGUGACGUUGUACCGGGUAGAUGGUAUCCGAAUAAACAUCCAUCCAGGUUUUCCGAGUGUAAUACCGAGAAGCCUUUGAGUAUACAUUUACUUUCAAGAAGCGGCAAACUGCAACUACAUGCUUGCAAGGUAGCUGCUCAAGCUGAAACUUUCUACAACUACAACUGUUGUUCGUCAAAUCUACGAGGCCGUCCUUAUCACCGUCCAAAACAUUAAACUGUGCAUUAUUUAAUUUAACCACAUUCAUCCUUGCAGUAUCCUCCAACCUGUUCCUCAACUUCUUCUCUCCUAAAUUGGGGCACAAUGUUGUUGUGCAAUUCAAAGCCAACUCACGACGUUCGGUGAACCAUUUCACAAGGAGAUUAACAAUUUCCCCUAUCAAAUGAACCACUGGCAGCAUCCUUGCAAACAUAAGGACUGAGUUGAUUGACUCCACAAUAUUUGUUGUCAUUACAUUGUAGCGGCGUCCAUCCAUGUGAGCUCUAGACCACUUAUGUAACCCUGCCUCUUCAAGAUAUUGAGCAACAUGUUCCUUUCGCUUGAUGUUGCGAAAAUGACAAUCAAAUUCAGCAAUGGAAUAAGAUUUCGCAGCCUGCUCAAAGUGCAUAAGUAUGUGAUCACGCUUUUUCAACUUGCAAGUGCGUUUCAUGUUCCCCUUCAUAUGAUUUUAACACCCUUGUACUUGGAUUUUAAAUGAGUGGCAUCCACGGCUAUCACUGGGAGCAUGGAAGAACGGAACCCUCUAAUACAUGCGCCAACCGCCAUAAAUAAAUACACAAAGUGAUUGUUCUCAUCAGUUUAGAUGUGUGUUUUUGUGCCGGGAUUCAUACGCUCCAAUUCAUAGCAAUAAGCUGGAAGGAUAUAAUAUGCCUCCUCCGCUGAUCCUCUAAUGGACAAUAGAGCUAACUCCUUUGCUUUCCAAGCUUUCAAAUAAUGGAUGGUGCAACCAAAGCUGUGUUUCACAUCUCUCAUAAUGUCACUUGGUGUGUAUAUUGUUCGAGAAUCCUUCAACUUCCUUUUAAGUGAAGUGGCUACAAGUGCUACGGUUGCUUGACGAUGCUUGUCACUUACGAACCUCAAAUCACAUUCAUGGACAGUUGUACACCUCACAAUCAUGAAGCUGUAUUCUCCAAUUCUCGAUGCUCGGACCCGCCAUGGGCAUGGACGUUGACAACAAACCACAAGCAACCUCUUAGUGCAAGAGAAUUGCACCUUAAAUUCAAAGUGGCCUCUUAAUGCCGUGAACCGUAACUCCGUCAACAAUGCUUUCUUACUAGAGAAAAUUUGCCCAACUGUAAUUUUCGGAUUCCAAUCACUUCGUGAAAACCCGCUGUCCAAAUAUGCUUCUUCAUCAUAUACACCGGCUUCAUUGUACCGGUUUUGUUCACCCAUUUGACUCCAAUAAUGUUGACGAGUGGAUUCAGAUUCUCCUCCUAAACGCAUUAUUGGCAACUGGGUAGCUGUGUUCAAGCAGCCCAAAUUAGGAGGGGCAGAGUACACUGACACUUCAUUUCUUUCAGUACCAUUAUCACCACCAUGCAUCUCCUCCACCUCGCUAAAAUCAAUCAUAUCCAUAAAAUCUGUCCCUACUUCACCUCCCACGUCAGUGACAUUUUUAUUAUUCCAAGUUACUUCAUUGCUUUCAACAAUGGCAACUGAAGAAUGACCCAUCCGACUACUAUCUGUCGUGAUAUGCGUACUAUGAACUACAUCAUUUGUCAGUCCUUUAUCUUCUAUACUCACGAGUAAGGGAGCUAGUUUUGAAGGUGUUACCUCGGAAUUGUACUUCAUAAAAAAAUUGACAUCAUCAUCGUCCUCAAUCUUUAUGUGCUUCCACUCAUUCGAGGCCACCAAAACUAAGAAUUUUAAGCAAACCUUGUCUUCCCUGCUGUUUGUAUUACCAAUCUGAUGCACACGGUCCAACAGUUCAGCAAAUUUGAUAGUCCGUGGAACUACUAAGCCUUUUGAGUCACCCCCUUCGUAUUUGCACAUCUUCUUCGAGGUGACCCAUUUUCCAUUGUAGCACACGAGAAUAACAAUUGUCUCCAUUUCUGACCAUGACAAAACAACAUUUCAUUAACCCAAUAUAACCACAAUAACCAUACAAUACAAUAGCAAUAUAACCACAAUAUAACAGCAAUAUAGAAGCAAUAUAAUGUCAAUAUAACAGCAAUACGACAGUAAAAUAAGAGGAACACAACAGCACUACACCAGUAACACAUCAGAAUCACACUAUACAGAUCUACUACAUCAAAUGGAAAAUCCCAAGUUUCAAGAUUCACAUAUCCAGACCAAUCUAAAUGCAAUUGGUACAAACCCAGAUGAAUGAGCAUGAAUAUUCAACAAAACCUAACCCAAAGAAAUUAAAGCCAAAACGAAUUUAACACAAACCCAAACAAUCAAACUAUAACCCAUUUCACAUAAUCCCACUGAUAUUAAUAAAAACCCAAAGAAAUUAAAGCCAAAACGAAUUUAACACAAACCCAAACAAUCAAACUAUAACCCAUUUCACAUAAUCCCACUGAUAUUAACAAAAUAACCAUCAACACUACCUUUUCGAGGUCGGCAAUCCACUAGAGCUUCAAGGUUGCAAGCAGCUAUUCAGAAGACAUAGCUAAAGGGAGGGGUUCGCGAUUCCAAACAAAGAGCAAGAGAUCGAAUAGGGGAGAAACAGACAUAACGAAGCUAGAGAGAGAAAGAGCUGCGCUAUGAGAAAGAGAGCAAAGAGAGAGACAGAGAGUUGUGCUAGAGAGAGAGAGAGUCAAGAGAUAGAGAGCCAAGAGAGACGCAGAGAGCUGUGAUAGACAGAUACCAAAGAGAAAGAGAGCUGUGCUAGAGAGAGAGAGAGCUGUGUGAGCUAAGAGAGAACAGAAUUUCUGGACUUGUGAAAAAACUGCAAUAAGUGGACAAUAAUUUUAUAUUUAUAGGUGAUAGUUGUACAAAAAUUGGGAAGGAGUGGUAUUUUUAAUUACAAUUAUAAAAAUGGUGGCAUUUAGGGCUAUUUCCCAAGAAUCUUCUAGUUCUUCAAUGGAUGACCAUAUGAAUUCUCAAUUAUUCGAUGCAUCAUCGUUGACCCUAAAUGGCCCAGUCUAUCAUGCCAAAUUAUAAAAAGUUAUGGAUUGUUGAACUUCUGGUUCACCAUAUAAUUUGAUUCUAUUUCACUUAUGGUGGUAUAAUAUAACCCUGAUGAAAAAGCUGGAAGUUUUUCUACUACAUGCUUCUAGCAUGAGUUAAUAGAAGUGAUAUGAAGAUAUUCUUAUUGAAUUAAAAGCAUUACACACAAAGUACAUGAAUUGAAACACUCAGCAUACAAUAAGCCUUUUAUUUUAGAGCAUUACACACGAAAAUGUAGAAAUUUGAACACACAACAUAAGGUAUAGCAUAAAAGAUCAAUACAGAAUUAAUCAACAUUCAUGUCAUCAAUGCCAUCAUUGUUAGCCUUGUCAUCAUCAUUGGCAUUUCCUUCAUUGAUUGUGCGAUCAAUGUUUCCACUUGUUUCUAUAAAGAAAUUAGAAACCUCUAAAUGGGUGAUGUCUAUCGGCUCAUUGAAAUCACCAAAAAUGUUAUCGAAAUCAGUAUAGUUUGUUUGUUUCUCUUUUCCCUUUCCCUUAAUUGAUUCUUGAUAUAGAUUAACAAGAUGUUUUAGCAUACGAUAUGUACGUGACCAGUGUCCUUUUAUUCCACACUUGUAGCAAGCAGCAUCAUCUUUCUUUUGGGAAUUAUGCACAACUUUCUUUUUCCUUUUCCUUCAUUAUUAUUCCACUAUUAGUGGUAUGAUGUGUUUUUCUUGUUUGAAUAACUUCCUCAAUUUUGGGAACUGUAAUGAACAUGACCAUGACCUCGGCCGCACCCAUGACCGUGUCCACGGUCGUACCCAUAUUUUCUUGCAUUUGCUUCAGGCGAUAAUGUAUGCAUAUUCUCAUUUGUAUUCACUUCAAGGAUUGGUUUUGAGCCAGUUGAAUCAGACUAAUAAUUUUUCAUUAAAAGUUCAUUAUUUUGUUAUGCAACAAGGAGACAUGAAAUCAGUUGGGAAUAUUUAUUAAACACCCUUUCUCUAUUGAGCAUCCAAUCAUAUUGAGCCUUUGGAAGUAUUAUACUCUUUUAGUCAUCAUAUAUUUCUUCCAAAUUUUUCCAGAGAACUGCUGGAUCUUUCAACCCAAGAUAUUCAGUUUUCAAUCCUCCAUGAAGAUGAAGGAAAAUCAUUGCUUUUGCGCGAUCCUGCAGGGAUGCUUGAUUUCCUUGCUUGAUGGUAUUUCCUAGUUUAUUCCCAUGCAGAUGAAUUUCCGCAUUGAGAAUCCACGUUAGAUAGUUCUUGCCAGAAAUAUCUAGUGCAGUGAAAUCAAUCUUAGCAAGAUUUGACAUUGUUGUAUAUCUAUAAAGAUAGAAAUAAAGAAUUAAUAAAAAUAACAGUAUGCAUUAAUAAUAUAAAUGUUUAGGAAAAUAAUUUUAAGGAGAUGAUUGGAUUAUAAUAUGUAUUUUAUGUACUUGAUGCUACAGGUUCAAGUUUAAUAAAAUUUAAGACUUCUAGCUCUUAAAUUAUCAUAUCAUUCAGAACUUAUGGUUCUAAGAUUAUUUUGAUUUUAAACUUCAGGUUUAAAUCAUUAAGAUGUGAACUUCAGGUUUCCACUCAAUUCAAAAUAAAAUUCAUUUCUUAUAAAAGUAUUCAUGAUAUUACAAUUAUCAUUUUAGUUUAGAACUUCGGAUUCCAAAAAUAUUGGUCUAUGAACUUCGGGUUCAUGAAUGAUAAAAAUUCAUCUUCAUCAUAUCAAUAUUGUAAGUUUAAAGAUUAAAAAAGCUGAUAUAUAAAGUUUGGCCGUUAACUAUGUAAAUAUAUAUAUAUAUAUAUUUAUUUAAAAACAAUAAGUAUGUUUUAUAUAAGAUAAAAGCCCUGCACGAGAAUACAAAAAUGGAUAAUAUAGAAGAUUCAUGCUUUGACGUAGCUUCCACUUGUAUUAAUUAACAUGUGUAUAGCUAUAUCUAAAUGAAACUUGGUUAGUAAAAAUAGCACUCAUAUUAAUGAUUGAACUAGUAAAUAUAAUAAAAAAAACGGAAUAUAAAUUUAGAUGGAAGAAAAUUAUACCAAGAUCCUUGAGUGGUUAGAGACUCGUGCUGAUAACGUGAUAUAAAACUUAGGGUAAAUUACUCAAAUGGUCCUCAAACUUGUACUCGAUUUACAUUUUGGUCCCUAAAUUAAAUUAGUAGUCCAAAUGGUACAUAAACUCUAUAUUAAUCGCCCAUUUGAUCCAACCGUUAUAUUUUCUGUUAAAUGUAACCAAAUUUUAAGGACAAAUACGACUUUUCAUAAUUAACAAAUAAAAUAGGGUUAAAAUAAAUACAAAAUUAGAAAAUAAUUGAAGAAGAAGAGAAAAAAAAAGUGUUUGGUCCCUUUGACGUCUCCUCUUCCAAUAGAACCCAUUUCUCUGGAGAACUCCAACACCCCAUUCUCAAAUUGCUUCCCAUUAUUAAUCACAUCGGAGUAAACCCCUCCUCCAAUCCCCUCUCCCUCAUCCCCACCACUAGUAAACAAAGACCCAUUUCUUGAGCCUGGCAAGCUGUAUCCAUGUGGCAAUGACUGAAGCAAUUCCCUGAACAAUGGUGGCUGUGGAGGCAGGUUCAAAUGGAAAAGUGGGUCAUAGGGAACCGAACUCGCUGUCCCUGUCGGGGUGUCAAUCCCACCAUGGACAUCUCCGAGGAACCCCAAAGAGUUCAGAAAAUUCGAGCUUCUCGGGUUGGGGUUUGUGAAGGUAAUGGACGAGUUUUGGAGAACAGAGGAGGGUGAGCAUCUAGGUAAGCUGAAAAGGUUGAGAAGGUCAGGUGUAGGUGGGUAUGCACCAUUAGCACCAUCUUGCAAUUGUUGCUGCAUCUGAUCAUGGACACCAUGAAUAUUGUCCCAAUUGGUUUGUUGCUCAAAGGAAACCAAAUGGUCAGUAUUGGUGCUGUAUGGAUUGAACCCAAGUUCAUUUUGGAGCUCAAUUUCCAUGGCAGCAUGAUGAUCUUGUUGAUGAGGGUAGGAGAGCUCUUCCAUGGAGAGUCUCAAGUUUUCUGCAACAGCAAAGCUGUUGUUGUUGUUGUUGUGGGUUUCUGAGGGAGAAGGCAUGAGAACUUGUGGUGGAGGUGACAGGGGAAGAGGGUUGAGGUUGAGGACACUUUCUGCUGAUUCUGGCAUGGAGUUUUGGUCAAAGUUGCAGCCUACUGUAUCUUCAUACAUUUUUGGACCAGUCUUUAAUUUGUCUUCUGGAGCCUUUUGGCUUUUAUGGGUCUGUUUUGUCUCUCUGCAGCAUUUUCACAUAAAUGGGGCCUGGGAUGGAGGGUGGUUGUUGGAUGGGUUUGGGUGGAGAGUGGUUGUGGGAUGGGUUGGGGGUUGGAGCUUGAGGGUGGUGGCCAUGGGGGAAUGGAGAGAGAGAGAGUUUUAACGUACGAAAUGACCAAUUUGUCCUCACAUUUAACAGCAACAUUGACAGAAUGUAACAGUUGGAUCAAAUGGGCGAUUAAAAUAGAGUUUAUUUACCAUUUGGACUAAUAAUUUACUUUAGGGACCAAAAUGUAAAUCGAGUACAAGUUUGAGGACCAUUUGAGUAAUUUACCCGGACUUAUGGAGAAAAUUUAGAAGAAGAUAAUAACCAUAGAGCUGCUCUUCUCAAACUUGUAAUUUAAUUCUCUUAAUGCCUUGUAUUUAUGGACAAAAUAGAGUAUAACUAUUUACCACACUUAACAAAUAUAAUAUAGGUAAAUUACAAUUACAUCAUUGUGGGUAAAAACAUAGUGGCAAGAAUUGUGAGAAAAAGUAUAUAGUGGGCAUCCAUAAUAAUUAAAUUGAUUUAUAAGGCCUUCUCCAACCAAUUUGGUCCUAAACCUAAAUUUUCCUCCUCUAAAAAGUAACUAUUUGGUUUUUGCCCGAACUCAAACCAUUUUUUCCCUCAACCCUUCAGACUCCAAUUUUAAGUUUGCGACUUUAUUAAAUUGUUUAAUAAUGGUUUAAGUAAAUUUUUUUUUUUUUUUUUGUGUGGAUAACUUUUCUUCAUUUAAUCUUUUUAAAUAACUUCAUAAUUUAAUUUUGUGAACAAUUUGAUUUUAAAAAAUUGAAAUUCCACAAAUAUAAUUAUAUUCGAGAAAUGGGUGGGUAUUUAUAGAGUUUAAAGUGAGUUUUGGGGUUGGAUUUGAUUUAGAUUAAUUUAAGAUAUUAUUUUGAUCGUUGAAUUUUAUUUUUUACUGUUAAAAUAGCUUGGAUUUAAUAUUGAUCAUUGGAUUUGGGUUAUUGUUGAAAAAAAAAAAAAGGCACGAUACCAACACACGAUAGUUGGCGUGUGAUAGCUUCUGCAGCAACAACAGCGACACCUGGUGUCCAUUGAUUCCUCCUUGCACAUGGGCUGCGUUAGUCUUGAGUGGGCUACACCAAAAGUUUUCCUGUCCAGUUUGGCUCCAAGUUUGGGUUUCCCAAAUUUUGACCCCUUACUUUUCUUGAGUUGGGAGAAAAUUUGGGGGCCAAAUUGUAGCGAUGGUCCUUGGACUAAAACAAACUUUACUUUUCGUCCCUCAUAUUGUUAAAUUUUUACGGUGGUAUUUGAAUUAUGCCUCCACUUUCAGAAAUCAUCAUUUCCGUCAUCUCAGUCAACUUUUCAAUUAAAAAUCAUGACAUGGCAAUGACAAGUCCUACUUGGCAUGGGCAAAAAUGUCUUUUCACACAAAAAAUUUAAAAAAUUAAUCAAAUCUCUCUCUCUCUCUCUCUCUCUCUCCAGCCCCGAUUUCUUCCCCCAAGUGAUUUCUCACCCAGAUUUCUUCACCCACCCAAAUUUCUUCCCAACCCCGAUUUCUCUCUUUCUCCCCCCCAAGAAGCAAAACAGAGAAGUGAUUAACAUCCCCCCCUCCCUACCAACGAACCAGAACCCCAACCCAUAGCAACAAUUUUGCCAAUACACAAACACAUAGCUAUAAGAAGUGACCAAUUUCUCUUAGCAGAUCAAUACACCUAACCAAGAAGCUAGCAAAUCCAAAGUAAACAAAAAGUGGGGGAUUGCGGGAGAGAGAAAUUUCUUUUGAUGGUUUUGUUGUACGUUCUUGGGACUUUUAUCUGUUCAGUGAUGAGGCUUUUGCAAUUUAAGUUUAAGGAAUAUACUUCUACUUGUUGGAAACUAUUAAUUUGGGAAGAAUGUCAUUAUGAACCAUCAGUAUGUUCUCUACCUAAAUGUACUGCUGGAACCGAAAGAAUCGAACUACCAUUUAGAGAAUGGGAAGAGUGCUGGGUUUCUUCUGAAGUGUGCUCCUCUUCUAUUAGUAUUCAACCAGAGGAAAGAGUGUCUUCACUUAUUAAUGUCAUUUUAGCCAUCCUUCAACCCUCUAUCAUUUCAGCCUCCUUCAAAGAUUGAACCAAUUUCUAUUCACAAAUCCAUAAGCAAAAGAAAAGAUGCCUCUGCUUCUCUGUUUUGAUCAGAUCUAUGGUGGAGGAUGGGGGCUGGGGUUGCGGGUUUGUGGGUGUUAGGGUUGCGGGUGUGGGUAGAGGGUUCUAGGGUUGGGGGAAGAAGAAAUCGUCGGGGGAAGUGGGAGAGCGUAGAGGAAAGAGGGAGAGAGAGAGAGAGAGAGAGAGAGAGAGAAAUUUUUUUUUAUGAAUUUUUCAAUUUGCCCUUAAUUUUGAUAGAAAAUUUAACUAAGUUGACUGGAAGACCAAUGAUGCAACAUGAGAUCUAAUUAAAGUACCACCGUAACAAUUUAACAAUAUAAGGGACGGAAAGUAAAGUUUGGUCUUAAUCCAAGGGCCAUUGCUACAAUUUUACCAAAAUUGAGUCAUAAUUUGAGAUUAUUUGGGUUUGGCCUCAAGGGUUGAAAAUGGCCUAACAGAAGUAAAUUCAAAGGGCAAGGUCGGGCCAGAUUUUUUUUAGAAAAUUCAAAGCCCCAUGGGUCGGGCUUAAGAAAGCACAUUGGGCAGGGCCGGGCCUAAACGGGCCUACAUCAUUAAAAAAAAAUCAUAACUUAAUCAUAAAGGCAUUUUAGUCCAAAUUUGAGAUUAAACUCACUUAAUUCCAAUAUUUUCACAUCAAACCAAAUUCAUAAAACACCCAAUAAAGUCACACAACUUAUAAGAUUUUCUACACAAAUAAUAAAAUCAAGUAUUAUUUUUGAGGUUAUUACAUAAUUAGACCAUAAUACGUUUUAAAAAAUAAUAAGUAUCAAAAAAAUAUUUGUUUUAAAGGAUGGUAUGAAUAAAUAUGCAAAUAUUUGGUGAUGUGUUCAAGAAAAACAUGAUUAUAUUUGGUAGUACAAUUAUGUUUCGUGAUAUGAUUAUAUUUGGUGAUGUGAUAUGUUGUUCAUCUUAUAUAUAUAAUUGUUGAAUUAAUAAUUGACACAAAUUAAUGUGCUAAUCAUCCAAAUAUAAAUUAGGAAUAAGUAAAGAAAAGUAAAUGAAAUGAAACAAAUUAUAUGUGAUUUAAGUGAUAAAGUCCUAAACCUAAACUUUUAUUUAUACAUAUAUAAUACAUGUAUGCGGGCCUAACGGGCCGGGCUUUUGUGGGUGGGACAGGUCGGGUCUAUGGGCCGAGUUGGGCUUCAGACACCCAAGCCCAAGCCAAGCUUAGCCCAAGGCGGGCCGAACCAUCUCAAAACCCAUAACGGACCGGGUCAGACUUUUUUCCAAUGGGCCGGGCGGGCUUCCAUUGGCCCAUGAGCCCGCGGGCCAAAUGAUAAGGCGUAAUCCAACAGUAUAAAAAGUCAAAAUGGGACACGUGUCCGGAAUCUGAUUUCACAGUUUCUAGGCUAGGGCAGCUGCUGCAUAUGCAUAUAAAUUUGGGAUUUAGGGUCGAGCCAUCUCUACGGAUACGGCGCCGCAAAAUAAGCUGCUGCUGAUGCAGCCGCCACAGCCGGCAUCUCCAGCGUCUACAACUCACGUGCCCUAACCGACUCCUACCUAUCCGACCUGACCCUCCGGUACCUUUCCGAGUGGGACCCUUCGGCCUCCGCCACCGACGACAAUAGCCGAAGUAGCUCUAUGUAUCUGGCGACGUCGUCGCAUUUGAUGUCCUAGUAUUCAUGGCCAGCUCCCGAUGUCGAGCCCGGCGUGAAGGUUCCUCACUUUCCGCUCUCUGUUUGGUUACUGCAAUUUUGUUCUGAUGUAAUUGUUUAUUGUUUCUUUGAUAAGAAAGUGAGAAUCUUGAAUAUGGUUAUGAUUAAAGUUCAUUGCUUUAAUACGACGUUUACUGAAAGUUUCUAAUCGUAGUAUCAUAGAGAUCAAAGAGUGGGAAUGCAGUUGCUGCAUACAUUGCUUAAAUUAGCUUAUUUCUAAGUUAAUCUUGUAUGCAAUUGUAUUUCUGAUUUUAUGUGUGCUUUUUAAUUUGCUUAUCAGCAAGUAUGAAUAUGAUUUUUUGCUUAGAAUUAGUAAUGUUUGAAACUGAUUAGUAUUUCAAGCUUACUUUCAUAAAGUCAGUUCUCCACAGAUUUCACCUUAGAUCAGUAAUCUAUUAAUUUUAGAAAUUGAAUUUGUUGAUCAUAGAUUGCAGCUGUUUAUGUGCUAUUGUCUGUUUGCUCAUUAAUUGAUAAAGAGACAAAAGUUAUAUUGCAAUAACUAACGGAAGUUUAUGAUUGGUUCAUUAGGUUCCGCUUGUCGCUUCCAAGUGAAUCCCUUACUGAGAGACAUGGAGAGCCAGAUUGUCCAGUAAGUUGCAAUUCAAUUUUUUUUUGUCUUUUUGCAGAAAUGAUACUUUUAAACAAUUUAACUGGAUAUGGAUUCUUUUCCCUUUUUUAUGUUGCAGUAUAAAUACUUUAUAAAGACUCAAAGAUGCAAAUUUGGUAUGUGGUGCAAGUUCAAUCAUCCGAAGGACAAACUGGCUGUAAGUGCAAAUGAUAUGUGGAUUUUCCAAGAGUUAACUGUCGUUUGGACCUAUUCCCUAUUUUAUUAUGAUAUGAUGCUCUACUAUGGUUUUAGGUUGCUUCAGAAAAUGCUGAUUUUUUGCCUUACCUGAGAGGCCUUCUGAACCCCCAUGUGCAGUAAGAUAUAUUUCCAUUACUUUUUUGGUGUGCGUUAUCUAUCUAUCUAUGUCGUAGAUUUGCUUAUAUUCCAUUUCAUAAUUUUUAAACAGUUCCACUAGUAAACGGGGCAAUGUAAGUUUGGUGCAACCUGCAAAUUUCAUCACCUGAAAGAUAUCCUGAUACCAUCAGCCGAGCAAGAGAAUACAAUUGGAGAAACUAGGACAACAAUUCAGCCGGAGGGAACUGAAUUUGCUGUGAAGCCUCUUGUUUCAUUCAGCCCUGCACUAUCAUUUAAC
rnacentral:lncRNA from 1 species